rnacentral:rRNA from 1 species
AGAGUUUGAUCCUGGCUCAGGACGAACGCUGGCGGCGUGCCUAAUACAUGCAAGUCGUACGCUUCUUUUUCCACCGGAGCUUGCUCCACCGGAAAAAGAAGAGUGGCGAACGGGUGAGUAACACGUGGGUAACCUGCCCAUCAGAAGGGGAUAACACUUGGAAACAGGUGCUAAUACCGUAUAACAAUCGAAACCGCAUGGUUUUGAUUUGAAAGGCGCUUUAGGGUGUCGCUGAUGGAUGGACCCGCGGUGCAUUAGCUAGUUGGUGAGGUAACGGCUCACCAAGGCCGCGAUGCAUAGCCGACCUGAGAAGGUGAUCGGCCACAUUGGGACUGAGACACGGCCCAAACUCCUACGGGAAGGCAGCAGUAGGGAUCUUCGGCAAUGGACGAAAGUCUGACCGAGCAAACGCCGCGUGAGUGAAGGAAGGUUUUCGGGAUCGUAAAACUCUGUUGUUAGAGAAGAACAAGGAUGAGAGUAACUGUUCAUCCCUUGACGGUAUCUAACCAGAAAGCCACGGCUAAAUACGUGCCAGCAGCCGCGGUAAUACGUAGGUGGCAAGCGUUGUCCGGAUUUAUUGGGCGUAAAGCGAGCGCAGGCCGGUUUCUUAAGUUUGAUGUGAAAGCCCCCGGCUCAACCGGGGAGGGUCAUUGGAAACUGGGAGACUUGAGUGCAGAAGAGGAGAGUGGAAUUCCAUGUGUAGCGGUGAAAUGCGUAGAUAUAUGGAGGAACACCAGUGGCGAAGGCGGCUCUCUGGUCUGUAACUGACGCUGAGGCUCGAAAGCGUGGGGAGCAAACAGGAUUAGAUACCCUGGUAGUCCACGCCGUAAACGAUGAGUGCUAAGUGUUGGAGGGUUUCCGCCCUUCAGUGCUGCAGCUAACGCAUUAAGCACUCCGCCUGGGGAGUACGACCGCAAGGUUGAAACUCAAAGGAAUUGACGGGGGCCCGCACAAGCGGUGGAGCAUGUGGUUUAAUUCGAAGCAACGCGAAGAACCUUACCAGGUCUUGACAUCCUUUGACCACUCUAGAGAUAGAGCUUCCCCUUCGGGGGCAAAGUGACAGGUGGUGCAUGGUUGUCGUCAGCUCGUGUCGUGAGAUGUUGGGUUAAGUCCCGCAACGAGCGCAACCCUUAUUGUUAGUUGCCAUCAUUCCAGUUGGGCACUCCUAGCCAAGACUGCCGGUGACAAACCGGAGGAAGGUGGGGAUGACGUCAAAUCAUCAUGCCCCUUAUGACCUGGGCUACACACGUGCCUACAAUGGGAAGUACAACGAGUCGCGAAGUCGCGAGGCUAAGCUAAUCUCUUAAAGCUUCUCUCAGUUCGGAUUGUAGGCUGCAACUCGCCUACAUGAAGCCGGAAUCGUUAGUAAUCGCGGAUCAGCACGCCGCGGUGAAUACGUUCCCGGGCCUUGUACACACCGCCCGUCACACCACGAGAGUUUGUAACACCCGAAGUCGGUGAGGUAACCUUUUGGAGCCAGCCGCCUAAGGUGGGAUAGAUGAUUGGGGUGAAGUCGUAACAAGGUAGCCGUAUCGGAAGGUGCGGCUGGAUCACCUCCUU